AAUCAACGCUGGCGGCGCGCUUAACACAUGCAAGUCGCACGAGAAAGGGAGCAAUCCUGAGUAAAGUGGCGUACGGGUGAGUAACACGUGGGAAUCUACCUCUUGGCGGGGAAUAACCCUGGGAAACCGGGGCUAAUACCGCAUAAGCUCGUGAGAGGAAAGCAGCAAUGCACCGAGAGAGGAGCCCGCGGCCGAUUAGCUAGUUGGUGGGGUAAUGGCUCACCAAGGCGAAGAUCGGUAGCCGGCCUGAGAGGGCACACGGCCACACUGGCACUGAAACCAGGGCCAGACCCCCACGGGAGGCAGCAGGGGGGAAUCUGGCACAAGGGGGGAAACCCUGAGGCGGCGACGCCGGGGGGGCGAUGAAGCCCUUGGGGGGGUAAAGCUCUUUCGACAGGAACGAUAAUGACGGUACCGGGAGAAGAAGCUGGGGCUAACUACGU
rnacentral:rRNA from 1 species